UCGCACACCUCCACUCCUGCUCUCUGCCUCCAUCGCCGCCUGCCCCCUGCAUCCACCACCCGCUCGCUCCAGGCAAAGGGCCGCCGCCGCCAGCGCUCUGGUCCCUCCCAAUUUGCGAGUUUUCGGAGGUGGGCGCCCGCGUAGCUCGUCCGUGCUAACAUCCUCUCCCUCGGUGGCUGCCUGCUGCAAGUCUGCAAUUACUUUCUCAAAAUUACUUUCUCAAGACUUCCCGUGGUGGCCGCAGGGCCGCAGCGCAUCAAACCGACGAAGGCUAUACAGGUAGGCCGCAUAUGUGGAGCCGCACCCCAGUAGGCAAGACAGGCGAGUCGUCAUAUCAUGCUACUUGCUUAUUUUCAUCUGAUAUGUGAGUAAUGAAAGUGAGGGGACUGAUUCAGAGAGUAAUUCAUUUGACAAGAACGAUGAGAUGUCUGAGGAUGAGUUGAUAGUGCUAGGUGGGAGAGGUGCUGCUGAAUCUUAUGGUGGAAGUGGAAAAGGAGGCAAGAAAAGGCGCAGGGGGGUGAAGAAGAA